rnacentral:rRNA from 1 species
UACAGAGGGUGCGAGCGUUGUCCGGAAUGACUGGGCGUAAAGGGCGUGUAGGCGGUCGCUUAAGUCUGGAGUGAAAGUCCUGCUUUCAAGGUGGGAAUUGCUUUGGAUACUGGGUGACUUGAGUGCGGAAGAGGUAAGUGGAAUUCCCAGUGUAGCGGUGAAAUGCGUAGAGAUUGGGAGGAACACCAGCGGCGAAGGCGACUUACAGGGCCGUAACUGACGCUGAGGCGCGAAAGCGUGGGGAGCGAAC